rnacentral:rRNA from 1 species
GGGUCAGUAGGUUGGUCGUGCCACCGGUACGUACUGGUCUCACUGAUUCCUCCUUCCCGAAGAACCGUAAUGCCAUUAAUUUGGUGUUGCGGGGAAACAGGACUGUUACUUUGAAAAAAUUAGAGUGUUUAAAGCAAGCUAACGCUUGAAUACAUUAGCAUGGAAUAAUGAAAUAGGACGAUCGAUCCUAUUUUGUCGGUUUCUAGGAUUGACGUA